GACGAACGCUGGCGGCGUGCUUAACACAUGCAAGUCGAACGGUGAAGGGGCCUGCUUUUGUGGGCCCUGGAUGAGUGGCGAACGGGUGAGUAACACGUGAGUAACCUGCCCCCUUCUUCUGGAUAACCGCCUGAAAGUGUGGCUAAUACGGGAUAUUCUGGGUCUGUCGCAUGAUGGGUCUGGGAAAGAUUGCGCCUUUGGGUGUUUUUGGUGGGGGAUGGGCUCGCGGCCUAUCAGCUUGGUGGUGGGGUGAUGGCCUGCCAAGGCGGUGAAGGGUAGCCGGCCUGGGAGGGUGAACGGUCGCACUGGGACUGAGACACGGCCCAGAGUCCUACGAGACGCAGCAGUGUGGAAUAGUGCACAAUGGGCGCAAGCCUGAUGCAGCGACGCCGCGUGAGGGAUGGAGGCCUUCGGGUUGUAAACCUCUUUCGCCAGUGAAGCAGGCCUGCUCCUUGUGGGUGGGUUGACGGUACCUGGAUAAGAAGCGCCGGCUAACUACGUG
rnacentral:rRNA from 1 species